UCUGAGCUGAACGGGAAUCGGGCACCUGUACCUGAGGGCCUGGGCAAAGCAGAGGUCAACAACUGUUGCUCACUUUCCUCAAGAACAGCUGCUGGCCGUCUGUUGACCCGCAGUGGUUUUCACCCCUCCCUGUGAUUCAGGAAAACAUACUAGCGCCUGAGCUCACCCCGAGGGAACAACUUGGAAUAUAAAUUGAGGAUGAAAAGGACCCCAUAAUCAGGAAGCAUCCACCAAGACCUCAACUGCUGGUCCCAGAUGUAAGAAUGUUGUGGAAAAUUCUUUGGAGUGACAUUAUUCUCCAUAAGCUUAUCUUCACCACUGGAUUUCCACAGGCAAGCAGAUUUCUCAACCACAAAGCAGCUAGAUUUCCCAAAGAACUGCUGUGUCCUCUGGGCAAUGUUUCCUGACUGUACUCUCCAUGUCAUUGUAAGCACGAAGCCUGUAAAUACAGGGCUCACUCACUCCACCACUCAAUCACACUGGAUUCCCCAGAAAAAGCAUUCAGCUGCUACACCAGCCUGGCAUGUCACCUACUUCCAAGGAAAACCCACUGGUACACCCAGCACGUGUUACAAGCAGGCUACAUCUUAAUGGCUUCCUCGGCUUACAACUUCUACCUUGGCAUCAAUACAAGAACCUGAGAUUGGUAUAUUUCCCCUUCUUGUUCUGUUAACCGAAAACGUCAUUUGAUUUAAAGUUCAAAGAGUCUGUUUUCUGCAGGUUUUUGUUUUUAAAUGUACACUAGCUCUUUUAAUGGAAGAAUUUGGUUUUAGCUACCACACUGCUUACCAAUUUCCUAAUUAUAUAAUUGGAUACCAUGAAACCCUUUAUUGUCCUAUUAAUAUCCCUCCACAGGUAUAGUUCAAGAAGUAGAUGUUUUUGGUGACUAGAAAAGUAUAUCAUUUUUCUUAAAAAGGAAAAAAAAUAGAUAUAAAUAUCAUUCCCCAACUAAAGCCUACAUAAACAUUCUUAGACACAGUCAGUGGUCUUUCAUAAAAGAGUUUUACUCUGUUUUUAAUUUCACCUGCAUAUUCAAUGUGGCAACACAGCAUGAUACAAAUUUCUUCUGGCUACAAAUUGUGCAUGAAUAUUGUUCCUCAAUAAUCUUAGAGUCAUUCUUUAACACUAACAUUAGAUGUUUGAAAAUGGAAAAAAAAAAAAAAACCCACAAGGGUAAAU